GUGUCAGCCGCCGCGGUAAUACGAAGGGGGCUAGCGUUGUUCGGAAUCACUGGGCGUAAAGCGCACGUAGGCGGACUUUCAAGUCAGGGGUGAAAUCCCGGGGCUCAACCUCGGAACUGCCUUUGAUACUGUUGGUCUUGAGUCCGGAAGAGGUGGGUGGAAUUCCUAGUGUAGAGGUGAAAUUCGUAGAUAUUAGGAAGAACACCGGUGGCGAAGGCGGCCCACUGGUCCGGUACUGACGCUGAGGUGCGAAAGCGUGGGGAGCAAACAGGAUUAGAUACCCCCGUAGUCC
rnacentral:rRNA from 1 species